GACCCUGUAAUUCAGUGGUUGUAGUUUGUAUGAGCCUGUAAUUCAGUGGUUGUAGUUUGUAUCUGCAUAUCAUAUAUUUUUUUUUUUCAUUCUUUUGUACACAACUCCAGCUCAGUUUUACAUUUGUCAUUACAGGGCUUUUUAUAGCUGACUAUGCAGUAUGGGUUUUGCUCAUUGUUGUUAAUUUCUGUGGCGUUUGGUCUCUUGUGGAGAAUUGUCUCAUUAGUAAUAAUACCAAUUCUUCUUUUUAUAUAUUAAUGAACAUGAGGCUUGGUUUUUGUAUAGAUCGUGAACCUCCCCUGUUAUGACAACAUCCUAUGGUUUAUAAUUAAGAAGAAAAGAAUUAUUUGUUCUUUCAUUUUUAUUCUUGAGAACAAGAAAUAUGAUGUUAGUAUACAACCAUUGAUAAUCCAAUACUUUAAUUCAAACAUAAACUUAUAGUAAUUAAACAUAGAUACUAUACUAUAUGAUGUUAAUACAAUGGACUAUUAAAAUAUCUUUACAUUAAGUACCUUUAUGACAACAAAUUGACAUGGAAUUUCAAGAAAAAUAGUAUAAAUAGAUGGUAUAGUAAAAGAUAUUACAACAAAUAUAAUAGUCUACUUCUAUCAUGAUCUUUCAACAGAUGUUUCAUUUCAAGAGAUUCCAUUAAAUUUUAAAUUAAAUAUUUGUGGAGAUUUUCUAUCAGAUAUCUGAUACAGAUAAAUUUUUGGCAUACUGUAUAGCAGGUUAUUUUGGCGGGUGUAAUAUUUCGCAAUUUUUAUUGUAUAAGGUAUAAGAAAUAUUUUGGCGGAUUCAUAACUUAUAUCAAUACCUUUGCAUGUGCACUUUAAAAUUGGUGAAAAUUAUUUUGGCGAUUUUAUUCUAUUAGCAAAAAUAAACAAAAAAUUUACACUCCGUGAAUAAUAACCCACUAUACAGUAUAAAUACAUGUUUUAAGUUUAUAAUAUCAAUAUUGUGGAGAAACAUACAAAUUGCAGAUUAUAUUUUACAAAUUAUUAAAAAAAAAUAUGGUACUUUUAGCAUGUGGAAAGUGACAGAUCAUAUAACAUCCACAGUGUGAUUGUGGAUGUCCCAAGUUAAAAGAUUUCAAACUUAUCUAACAAAUCAAGGCAUCUACAAUAAUGAACCAUGUAAACAAUAAAAAAGCUGACACCAAGUGAUCAACUGUUAACUCAAAUGUUCAAAUAUUUGACAAACUUCUGAACGAGUACUAAUGCAUUGUAUGUUGAAAAGUAAAAUUCCAAGAUAUUCUUUUAAUUGAUAAGAAUAUUCCAUUCUAUUUAUAGAAUUAGGAGAUUGCCAAUGUGACAAAUAACCAACAACGUCGAAAUGACCAUAAAGUCUUCUAUAAAAGGCCCAAACAUACUAAAUAAGAUGAAACAAACCAAAACGUGUUGAUCUUUAAUGUAUUUUGGUAUUUUUCAAUAAAAUCCUUUGAUAAUUACCUAUCUAAAUAUGAAAAGAAAUUUAAAUGCCAAUAUUGACCUUUGGUGAACUUUCUCCUUUCUUUGAUACACAUUUUCAUUACUGACAACAUAAAAUUCUGGAUGCUCUCCCGUUUGUUAAAGUGAACACACAAAUAACUCAUCACCAUCACUUGUAAAUAAUACAAAAAUGUUAUGACAGUUUACUAUCACAGUGAAACAAAAAUUACAAUAUCAUUUUAAUACCCAUCAUGGCCAUAUAAGAUCUGAUCAGCUGAAUAAAGUCCGAUCUUUUUGAGAAUCUAUUAAAAAGUUUUUCAGCAAAUAAUUGAUGCCAUGAAACUUUUUUGGCCAGUCAUACGGGUGCUAACAUGUAAAAGAGUUUUUUUUUCUUUGGAAAACUCACUAUGUUAACAUUUUUAAAUCAUUCUAAUGGUAUUAAACUUUUAAGACAAAAAUUAUCAUAUAUCAGAAUGUUCUAAAACAAUUAAAAAGGAUUAACAAAGGUCAUUCACAUUUACUGUGGACAGUAAAAUGCUUCUUUCCAAAAAAAUAAGUAACUCAAUAAAUACAUGAAUAAAUGAAAUACAUACAUUAAUAAUACUUUUAAGAAUGUAAAAAAAUAAUAAUUAAGGAAUAGUAAACAGGAAUGAAAUAAAUAUGCUAACUGAAAUAUUCCAUUCAUCACUUAGUAAAACACUCAAUUAGACUAAUAUGACUUUUACAUGGACGAUACAAAAAUUGAAAACAUACAUAAUAUUUUCUGACGAUUCAAACUUUUGAAAGUUAAAUCAUGUUAUUAAUAAGAAUAAAUAUUUUUAAUCUAUACAAUGAGUACGCAACCUUUAAAAUUAAUACCACUACCUGUAAAACAGAUUCUUUUAAUAAUAUUAUUGGAAUGCUAAAAUAUGUUGAUAAAAAAAAGUGAAAUUAUUAAAAAGUGAACAAUGAAUGAGCUGAACAUAAACGACUAGAAACAGCGUACAGACAUACAGACUAACAUUAAAACAAUUAGCACCCUAAAGCACCAUUAAUUUAUCUCCAUAACCUUGAACACAUCAGCACUAACAAAGGCAAGAACUAUUGACAGACUAGACUUUUGUAAUAUCAGGCAAGAACUAUUAACAGACUAGAAUGUUGUAAUAUCAGGCAAGAACUAUUAACAGACUAAAAUGUUGUAAUAUCAGGCAAGAACUAUUAACAGACUAAAAUGUUGUAAUAUCAGGCAAGAACUAUUAACAGACUAGAUUGUUGUAAUAUCAGGCAAGAACUAUUAACAGACUAGAUUGUUGUAAUAUCAGGCAAGAACUAUUAACAGACUAGACUUGAAAUAUCAGGCAAGAACUAUAAACAGACUAGACUGUUAUAAUAUCAGUAAGUACAAUUUUAUACGAAUUUCUUCAAAUUCGUAUUAAAACAAAAUAAUGUGACUAGAUUUAUUUUUUAGAUAAUAAUAAUAAUCAUUUUAAUGAAAGAAAAAAAAAUUGCAUUUAUGUGUUACCAAAAUAGACAGUAAUAAAUAUGAAGCAUGAUUUUAGAUUUUAUGCAAAUUUCUUCAAAUUUGUAAAAAAAAAAAUGCGAUUAGAUUAAU
rnacentral:lncRNA from 1 species